rnacentral:lncRNA from 1 species
UGACUUGGAUAGAUGAGGAUUGGGUCGGAACAUGAAUCCUAUAAUGCUAAAGAAAAGAGAUGAAACACGAUGGGUGUUUGGUGACAUAGAAAGUAGCGUUUAAAUGCUAAAGAACAAACGAGUGGCAUCAAAUGUUAAAGAACAUAUCGAGUGGCAUUAAUGUAGUGUAUUUGACACUAGAGGUCGAUGGACCUAGGGAUAGGUGGAUCCCUUAGAAAAUGCCUUGUGAACAAUGAAUUUAGAAAAGCUAAACAACAUUACAUGAAUGUCGGGAACAGAUGAUUCCGCGAGAGAUGUUGACCCUAGUUCAUAGGGUAUCCUCACAUGGAGAGGAUAUAGACGAGUGUCUAUUGAGAUGUUGGCCCUAGAGGUAGGGUGUCCCCACAUGGAGGGGAUAGAUCAUGCUCACGGUCUGCUUUGGGGUGGUAUAGCCAUCCAUAUCCUCACAUGGAGAGGAUUGUCGUCGAGUACUCCGGAGUGUCGGGCGAUUUGGACCACUUGGAGGUCCGGACCACUUGGAGGUCCGCAGACGGUCCCGGGUCUGGGAGCACAUGGAGCUCCCCACCCAAUGGGAUGGCAAGGUGAGUCGAGGGCGAACCCAAGGGCUUCGCCACAGAUUGGGUAAAUGAACAGUUAACAAUGUCAUUGAACAUUAAUAUUCGAACAUGGAUCGAAUUUGUUAGCAUGAUAGUAAACCUUUACUAUAUGACGCAUGCAUUCAUUAUACAUGAUUAUGGGCAUAGUAGCAUAGUUUUCCUUUAUGCCUUUACAGCUUUCAGAUAUCUAUCUAUCUAUCUAUCUGUUGUUACUUGUGCCCACUUGGACCUAGUGGGGAGACCGGCGGAGUCGGCGGCCGAGCCCACUGGGAACUAUGGAAGAUAGUUCUCACCCCACUCUAUUUCCAGUGGUAGGUACAGGUUUACCGAGCGAGGACCGCGGCAAGGGCAUCGCGCCCAAUCAGUGAGACCGUGGUAGUAUAGUAGCUUUCCUUUUUGCAUUAGCACACCUAUGUAUUGAGAGAGAUUCAUGUAGGUGAGGAUUUGGAGAGCUAUGUAUUUUGAAUGAACAUAUGUAUUCAUUUUGAGGAAAAUAUGUACAUAUAAAAAGAUGCAAAACUAUUGCAAUAGUUAGUAAAGUACUCUCUUUAUUUCACUUAUUUUUACUUGUGGAUUACUUGCUCUUAGUUGUUGACACUACUUGUGCCCCGUUGAAUGUGUAUGUUUAGAAUUUAAAUUUCCUGGGUAAAUUCCUGUACACAUUCCUGUUGUUGAGCCUUGGGCGGACAGGGGAGGUGCUGUCCGUUCGGUGGUCCGCCCAGCGCGCCCGAAUCGUGCCAAAUUGGUAGUGGUUUCGGGGUGGGGCAUGACAGUCGCAUGCUAUCAGAGCAAUAAGAGCAAGUAAAGAGAGUGAGUCUAGGAUAACCUAGGAGACCCUAGGUUGGUAAGCCCUAAGGUUAUAGGUGCGUGAGCGGAACGUGAACCUAUAGCGAUGGCGGAAGUUGAUUCGAUUGGGUCGAAGUUGGUAAUAUGUCUCUAGUUGUGAUUAGAGACAGAUUCAAGUGGUAUGAGUUCUUGUCUUGAGGUGGUUGUGUCGGCUGCCGACGACAUGAUACCAAGAGUCUAGAACGAGUACACUUGUGUGCUUCCGCCCGAUUUCGUUGUUGAGUCGUUGUGUGUCGUAAUUGCGACGAGGCGAACGGAUUAAGAUAAUUGACCAAGUACUUGUGUUUCAGGAGCCAAUGGCACCAAGAGGACGCCCGAGCACGAGGUCUACUCCGGCACCGCUUCCCGAGGUGCCCGAGCAGGCUGAACCCAGCGAGAUGGAUCAGUUGCGAGCGCAAGUGACCGCGUUGACCAAUAUGGUGCAGCGCCAGGAGACCCGAUUCGAGCGGCUCCAGGAUCUUUUGGAGCGGCAGGUUGCGACGGUGGCUGCGACGGUGAAUGAGGGCGGUGGUUCGCCCGCACCCUCGACUCAUGUACCCGGAGCAGCAGAAUGUGAGGGUAUAGCGACGGUUCCGGUGACGGCACGCCCACCACCAGUGAUCGUACCACAAGCGGCGUCGGGAUCGGCUACACCCGAUGUGACGGCCGAAGAUGUGGAAGGAGAGCGCGGAUUGGCGGCUCUUAUUAAGUUCAACAAGUUCCAUCCGCCUACCUUUGAGGGCGAGAAGGUGGAGCCGGCGAUGGUCGAGUCUUGGAUCGAUUCGAUGGAGACUCUCUUUGAGGACUUGCGUACCUUGGAGAGGGAUAAGGUGUACCUUGCCACCCACUGUUUGGAGAAAGCGGCAAAGGUAUAGUGGAAGCGCGUGAAGCGAGAUCGGUCUUCCAGUCUCCCGCCGAUGCUGUGGGAGGAAUUCAAGCGGGAGAUGUUCGCCAACUACUUCCCCGAUACACUAAAGCGGAAGCUCAAGGAGAAGUUUCGCAAGUUGGAGCAAGGGGACCGCUCAGUGGCAGAAUAUGAACAAGAGUUCUCCCACAUCAUCGAUUGUGUUCCGAACAUUGUGAAGGAUGACCAGGACAAGGCCGAUUGGUUCUUAAGAGGACUUCGGCCGGGGAUUUAUAAGGCCGUGCAAAUACUCAAGCUCACGACCUUUGCGGAGGUCUUCGACCGAGCACUUUGGGCGGAGCACGGAGACGCCCAUGUCCGGGAGAAGCAUGAGAUAUUGGCCGAGUCCAAGGAUAAGGGCAAGAAACGCCAAGGCGGUAGCAGUUCGGGGGGACAAACACGUUCCAAGAAGCCCCCGAAGUAUCCACGGACUUAGCAAAAGGGCGGUGGAGCGCGGCGAUGCAUCAUAUGCGGCGGAGACCACCCAGUCUCGCGAUGUGAGCAGGGCCGAGGCAAGUGCUACAAGUGUGGGCAACCGGGGCACUUCAUUCGAGACUGCCCCGGAGGAGGAGCCUCACCUGCCCCAUCGAUUGCAUCGGCGCCGGUGAUUCCGCCUUACUAUGGAGGAGCUCCACCGGCGGCCGCGUCGACCGGACGCGCGGUGAUGCCUCGUCAACCCGAGGUGACGCGAUCAGCUCCGAGCAGUCGGGUAUUCGCCGCUCAGGUCCAAGCUGAAGAGCCUGUGGAGGCGGAGGAGCAUCGCCUUGUGGCAGGUAUGGUUUUAAUUAACGGAGUUCGCUCCAGGGCUUUAUUUGAUACAAGAGCCACGUAUUCAUUCAUAAGUAGAUCAUUCGCACGCAUGCAUGGCAUACCCAUAGAGGCGAGUGACAAGUGGCGAGUUGAGGGCCUUAGGUCGACUUUUAAUGCCUAUUCGGACGCUAGAACUCAAGAAGCUCGAGGCUUAUGACAUCAUUUUGGGCAUGGACUGGCUCUCGAAAUAUCAUGCAACGAUUGACUGCAAGAGCAGAGUAAUUACAUUUCGUGAGCCAGGACAAAAGGAGUUCACAUAUCGGGCUUGUCAGAGCUCGUGCUUCGUCGCAACGGUGUCGGCGACAAAAGCAAAAAAGUUGGUCAACAGCGGUUGCACGACAUUUUUGGCAACUGUUGUGGAAGUGGAACGAGUGACUCCGACAUUGGAGGAGCUAUCGGUAGUGCGGGAGUUCCCGGAUGUGUUUCCUGCGGAGUUGCCGGGGAUACCACCGAACCGGGAGAUCGAGUUCGUCAUAGACUUGGUUCCCGGUACCGCAUCGAUCUCGAAGGCUCCGUACCAAAUGGCGCCGGCGAAACUGAAAGAGUUGAAGAGUCAAUUGCAAGACCUCCUCGACAAGCAAUUUAUCCGGCCAAGUGUAUCACCGUGGGGAGCCCCGGUAUUGUUUGUACGGAAGAAGGACGGAUCGUUUCGACUCUGCGUGGAUUAUCGAGAGUUGAACAGAGUCACGAUCAAGAACAAGUACCCACUACCCCGAAUCGAUGACUUGUUCGAUCAGUUGCAGGGGUCGUGUGUGUACUCGAAGAUAGGCUUGCAGUCCGGCUAUCAUCAGUUGAAAAUUAAGCCGGAGGAUGUGCAGAAAACCUCGUUUCGUACGCGGUACAGGCACUAUGAAUUCACGGUCAUGCCAUUUGGACUCACGAACGCUCCAGCGGCAUUUAUGGACUUGAUGAACCGUGUCUUCAGGAAGUUUUUAGAUCGAUUUGUCGCGGUCUUCAUGGUCUAUUCUCGUAGUGACGAGGAACAUGCUGAGCAUUUGAGGAUAGUGCUUCAAACCCUUCGGGAGGAGAAGCUGUAUGCUAAGUUGAAGAAGUGUGACUUCUGGCUCCGAGAAGUUGCAUUUCUAGGGCAUGUGAUUUCCACGGGUGGAGUUUCUGUAGACCCGAGGAAAGUUGAGGCAAUCAAGGAUUGGCCGCGCCCGACGAAUGUCACGGAGGUUCGAAGCUUUGUGGGCUUGGCGGGCUAUUAUAGGCGGUUUGUGGAAGGCUUUUCCAAGAUAGUGAUUCCACUUACCCGCCUGACUCAGAAAGGCACCAAGUUUGUUUGAAGCGAGGAGUGCGACCAGAGUUUCAAAGAGUUGAAGCAGAGAUUAACUUCGACUCCGGUGCUCGCUCUACCGGUGCAAGGCGAGGACUUCGUAGUCUACAGCGACGCCUCCUAUCUAGGACUGGGGUGUGUUUUGAUGCAAAACAGGAAGGUGAUUGCUUAUGCAUCCCGUCAACUGAAGAGCUAUGAGAAGAACUAUCCCAUCCACGAUUUGGAGCUAGGAGCAGUAAUUUUGGCCUUGAAGCUGUGGCGGCACUACUUGUAUAGUGCCUAUUGUGAGAUUUACACAGACCACAAGAGUUUGAAAUAUCUAUUCACACAAAAAGAGCUCAACAUGAGACAGCAGCGGUGGUUAGAACUGUUAAAGGAUUAUGAUGUGGAUAUCCUUUACCAUCCCGGGAAAGCCAAUGUGGUCGCUGAUGCAUUGAGCAGAAAGUCGGCAGAGAACCUCUCGAUGUGGGUUACAAAUCAAUCACCCUUGUGGUUAGACAUGGAGCGGAUGAACCUUGAGGUGGUCGCUCCCGAGGUUCCGGCCCAGUUGAUGGCGCUCGUUAUUUAACCGACCUUGUUGGAGAGGAUCAAAGAUCUGCAACCCGCAGACCCAGAACUCCAAAUGGUACGGCGAAACAUCGAGGAAGGUCGAGGCGGCGAUUUCAAUUUAGACACCGGUGGUAUACUCCGGUUUCGAAACCGAUGGUGUGUGCCAAAAGAUAGAGAGCUUCGCGAGCUAAUUCUACAAGAAGCGCAUCGAUCUCUAUAUGCCGAUCACCCGGGCGGCACCAAGAUGUAUCAAGGACUAAAAAUACACUACUGGUGGCCGGGAAUGAAGGGUGAUAUUGGACGCUUUGUGGCGAAGUUCUUGACAUGCCAACAAGUGAAAACAGAGCGUCGAUUUCCAACGGGAAAGCUUCAAAGCCUACCAAUCCCCGUUUGGAAAUAGGAGGAUAUAUCGAUGGACUUCGUGGUCGGCUUGCCUCGCUCAACGGGCGGCCACGAUGCAAUUUGGGUAGUUGUGGACCGAUUGAUGAAGUCGGCUCACUUCUUGCCAAUCCACACCACGUGGUCGGGUGACAAGUUAGCGCAGGUAUACCUCGACGAGAUAGUGAGACUGCAUGGGGUGCCGAAAUCGAUCGUGUCGGAUCGUGACCCCCGAUUCACUUCACACUUCUGGAAGAGCCUGUAGGAAGCCCUUGGCACACGCUCGACUUUAGCACCGCAUUUCAUCCUCAGACCAAUGGGCAAACAAAGGGAAACAUUCAAACUCUGGAGGACAUGUUGCGAGCGUAUGUCAUCGACUAUAAGGGAAGUUGGUGUGAUCACUUACCUAUGGCCGAGUUCGCCUACAACAACUGUUGUCAUGCUAAUGUGGAGAUGGCACCGUUCGAGGCUCUUUAUGGGCGGACGUGUCGGUCUCCUAUACACUGGAGCGAUGUGGGUGAGCGUACAGAGUUCGGCCCCGAUGUUCUACGAGAAGCGGAGGAGAAAGUCCGCCUUGCUCGCAAGAGAUUGCUCACGGCGCUGUCGAGACAGCAAAGCUAUGCAGAUAGGCGCCAACGAGAUAUAGAGUUCGCGGUGGGCGACCCCGUGUUCUUGAAGGUUUCACCGAUGCGGGGUGUAAAGCAGUUUGGAGUGCGGGGAAAGUUGAGUCCCCGAUACAUUGGACCCUAUGAAAUAUUGGAGCGAGUUGGCACGGUGGCUUAUCGACUGGCUUUGCCGCCGAAGUUCGCGGAUGUACACAAUGUGUUCUAUGUCUCCAAUCUCCACAAGUAUAUCCACGACCCCCAGCACACAAUGCUAUAUGAGCCACCGGAGCUUCAAGGGGACUUGAGCUAUGAAGAGUUUCCGGUGAUGAUUAUCACACGAGAGGUGCGAAAGUUGAGGAAUCGAGAAAUUCCCUACGUGAAGGUUCGGUGGAGCAAUCAUGAUGAUCGCGAGGCCACCUGGGAACUCGAGGAUCUAAUGAGAAAGCACCACCCUCAUCUGUUCGAGGGGUGAGGUAAAAAGAUUUAAAUUAAAGUUAGAAAAUUAGUCCGUUUCGAGGACGAAACUCCUUUUAAGGAGGGGAGGAUGUAAGGAAGUGAAUUCUCGAAAUCCGAGAGUUGUACUUCGUCCAGGAUCGACUAUUUGUCGAGUGAGUAUCCUUCGGGAAAGCUAAAGUUAUCCAAAACACAAAAAGUGCAUUGGAGUUGAGUCCGCGAGAGCAUAUAGUGCAAAACCUGCACUGGGCUGAAGUUACUCUCGGGGACCGGUCCCUGGCAGGGAGAGACCGGUCCCCGAGGCUGGUGGUUGCUGGGGAUCUUUGAUACAACCGGUCCCUGGCUGAGGGGACGGGUCCCUAGCUGAGGGGACCGGUCCCCGUGUGCGACGCCAGCGAGAGAAGGCCAAAAUCGGCUAAGUCCUGAAAAUCAAGCUCUCGGGGACCAGUCUCUCAGGCGAGGACCGGUCUCCCGAGGACCGGUCUCCCAGGGAGAGACCGAUUCUCGAACGUGAAGAGGCCUUCUGGCCGCCAGGACUGCUCUCGGGGACCGGUCUCCCCGACGAGGGACCGGUCCCUCUGGGCGCAGAAUGCCUAGUGAGGGCUGUGUACAGGGUGAAAAGUUGAGGAGCUAAAUUGGAUUUUGUUACAAUAAAGGGGUAUGUAGGCCCCCUCUCUCUUCCUCAGCCUCUCAUUCUCUCUCUCUCUCUCACUCUCUCUUGCUCCCUCUCUCUCUAGAAAGAGAAGAAGAACAAGAAGAACAAGAAGGAGAGGAAGGAAAAUGAGAAGAAGAAAAAGGAGGUGAAGAAGGAGACCAAGAGGAAGGCCUUGGGCACCUUCAUCUCCCUCUCCUCUUUUCUUUAGUGUAGCUCAAGAGGUAAGCUACCAAACCCUAACUUUGAGAACUUACGAUUUUUGGGUUUUGAGCUUUAAGAUGAGGUCAAAUGGACUUCUAACACCAUUGUUGGUGGAUUAGAGCUAGAGGCUAGGGUUUCAUGGUGCAAAUGGCAUGAUGCUAACCCUAGGGCACCCAAAAUGGAAUUUUUGGAAAUAGAUGAGAUUGAUCUCAUUUGAGGCCUUGUAAACCUAAUUGCUAGGUGUCCAAACGCGUUGGCGGAGUCGGAAUUACGAUUCGUCGAGCGGGUGUAGAGCUAUCGGCAAAGUAGGGACGACCUAGCUUCGUUCCUCCCAAGGAGGCAGGGAACACGUGGUUUGAAGUGCCGAGGAACACUUCUAGAACCUCCACAACGAACAUCGACUACACAAGGUUGGGGGUGUCAUCCCGAAGCAACCGGGCUCUUUUCUAUGUCUUAGAAUAGCAUAUGAUUGCAUCUCUUGCAUGUUGCAUUGUAGGAUUGCAUAGUAGUACCUUUCCUUAUGCUUUCUAAUUGAUAACCUAGUGUACAUGGAACGCUUGGUGACUUGGAUAGGUGAGGAUUGGGUCGGAACAUGAAUCCUAUAAUGCUAAAGAAAAGAGAUGAAACACGAUGGGUGUUUGGUGACAUAGAAAGUAGCGUUUAAAUACUAAAGAACAAACGAGUGGCAUCAAAUGUUAAAGAACAUAUCGAGUGGCAUUAAUGUAGUGUAUUUGACACUAGAGGUCGAUGGACCUAGGGAUAGGUUGAUCCCUUAGAAAAUGCCUUGUGAACAAUGAAUUUAGAAAUGCUAAACAACAUUACAUGAAUGUUGGGAAUAGAUGAUUCCGCGAGAGAUGUUGACCCUAAUUCAUAGGAUAUCCUCACAUGGAGAGGAUAUAGACGAGUGUCUAUUGAGAUGUUGGCCCUAGAGGUAGGGUGUCCCCACAUGGAGGGGAUAGAUCAUGCUCACGGUCUGCUUUGGGGUGGUAUAGCCAUCCAUAUCCU